UACGAAGGGGGGCGAGCGUUGUUCGGAUUUACUGGGCGUAAAGGGCGCGCAGGCGGCUCAUUUUGUCAGGCGUGAAAGCCCCGGGCUUAACCUGGGAACUGCGUUUGAUACGGAUGGGCUAGAGUUCGGGAGAGGAGAGUGGAAUUCCCAGUGUAGAGGUGAAAUUCGUAGAUAUUGGGAAGAACACCGGUGGCGAAGGCGGCUCUCUGGACCGAUACUG
rnacentral:rRNA from 1 species